GGAUGAUUUACCCAUAAGCCAAUACAGCGCUAUUUCCAUGUGGUGCGGGCUAGCGGUGGAGUGACCUCAACAUGGCUUCUGGCAACGACAGGGGAGCGACCCUGUGCAGAGCAUUACCUAGCCACAACGAGGAUGAGGAUGAUACUGUUCCAUUGGAGAAAAUCAGUCUCGUCACUGGAUUUUUGAGAAAUCAUAGAAGUAUCACCAGACAUGAUGAAGUUUUGGGUCAGGUGGGAACUGCCAACAAGAUACGUCAAUGUUGAGGUUGUAACCUCAACUUAUCCAGUGGUUUCUCGCCUGCUUCUUCAAGUUGAAGCUCCCCAGCCACUACCAGACAAGAUUUUUCACCAGGACUUGAUGAUGGCCCUCAGUUCCAUACGUUCUGCCUUUGUAGGUGCAAAUGUCAUCAACUUCUUGCCCUCUUUUGAAAUGGAAUCAUUUAAAAUAGCUUCUAUUCCAUUUUCAGGCACCACCUUCACCUGUCGAGAUAGAUAUUUUGGAGUUGGUUUGGUAAUUGUCUUUGGCCUGGGUUUUUCUUCUGUUUUAUAUGUCCACUAGUACUGAAGUUAUUUUCAUAUUCUUAGCUGCUAGAGUACGUUUGUGAUGUCAUCUGCACCGCUGCAGUGCAAUGAGCUUGGAUCAUAUAAAGAUCAUCUCUUUGUGUUCCUACUCAAUAAAGAGAGAUGUGGCAGCUUUCUUGGCCUCUCUAGUUCAUUAAACUCAGACUUCCAUAGACAUUUAGUAGUAAUUAUUGAACAGUUUAUACAGUUAGUACAUGUUUAACAAAUUCAGAUGUUUAGGUAGACACCAGUUUCUCCAAUAUUACUGUUGCCCUUUUACAAUAUUCUGUUCUCUUAUCUUGCCUUAAGUAAGUUCUCAACAUAUUGGACAGUGUUGAAAUAUGUCCACCCCAAUCCAACCGUCAUAUUGCUGCAGGCAUCUGUGUUGUCUUGCAGUGCCAUCAUUUCCAGUUCCAAUCAGGGAUGUUGACCCUGCAAUGAGGCUCAUUUGUGUCGCCACUCUCCUCCUACUGAAAAUCUCGGGUUGGGGAUUCCCUGACAAAGACAUUUGUUUGUAUAAAAAUGAUGCAUAUUAAAUGUUAUUGAACAAAUUUA